rnacentral:rRNA from 1 species
GUGCCAGCCGCCGCGGUAAUACGGGGGGAGCCAGCGUUGUCCGGAAUCACUGGGCGUAAAGGGCGUGUAGGCGGGCAUGCCAGUCAGGUGUAAAAGUCUACGGCUUAACCGUAGUUGGUCAUCUGAUACUGCAUGUCUUGAGUUCGAGAGAGGGUGGUGGAAUUCCUGGUGUAGCGGUGAAAUGCGUAGAUAUCAGGAAGAACACCGGAUGCGAAGGCGGCCACCUGGCUCGUAACUGACGCUGAGGCGCGAAAGCGUGGGGAGCAAACAGGAUUGGAUACCCUGGUAGUCCACGCUGUAAACGGUGGGCACUAGGUGUGGCGGGUAUAAACUCCCGCCGUGCCGCAGCUAACGCAUUAAGUGCCCCGCCUGGGGAGUACGGCCGCAAGGUUAAAACUUAAAGGAAUUGACGGGG